rnacentral:tRNA from 1 species
GGGGCUGUAGCUCAGAGGCAAAGCGCUCUCACCUAGCACGUGUGAGGCCCUCAGUUCGAUCCUCAGCACCACA